UGCGGUGCCCGGCGCGGCGGAGGGACCCGGGCCGUGUUAUCUGCGCACUGAGACGUCGGCGGAAGGCUAGAGGCCGUGCUCUCGUCCGCGGAGAAGGCCACCACUCCUCGAGCAGGCUGGAGGGACAAAGCCUCUGGCCCGCGCCGGGGGCAUUCAAGAAGGAAGCCAGGCCUGACCGGGGGGUGGCGCACGCUUCCCGAACCCCAGGCCCAACGCCCCGGUUCCGCGCGGGCAGUUGGCGCCCCUCGGGUCGGCGCCCCCUCGGGUGGGCGCGGCAAGCCUUUUAGGAAUGGGCCCCAGGGAGUGUGACCGGGUCCCUGCCAAUCUUUUGAAGUUCAGAGAUCCACCGUCGAACGAAGCCUCUUUUUCCAACUUCACCAUUUCGCCUCUUUCCUUAACCCGCGCUGGCUAAAGCGCUGAGCCUUGCCAUCCUCUUUGAGUGCUUAACGAUUUGCCCUGCCUUGGACAGCCAGUCCUCUUCAGGUGGUGGGCUGCUGGUAGGGGUAGGAAGCAAGGCCUGGGGCAUCGUUGGGGACCCUCACACCUGAUUUUCUAUUUUAAGGAGCAACUGGGUUUCACGAAGUUGGAGGGUCAGUGGGAGUUUUGUGGCCCUUGGCACUUUUUAAAACACCCAUCUGCAAGGCGGGAACAGCGGAGAAAGUGCUGUGUAGUUCAUAAAAAAAGAUAUUGGCAGAGUGUAUCUUAAGAGUUUUUCCAGAGAUUGUUUAGUAAUCUCUCAAUUUAGAGAGUUGAUAUGUCCCGCGCCAUCAGGCCGCUGAAUGGGAUCUUCCUUCCGACAGGGACUGAGAAACGGAAAUACCACCCUCCAGCCAAUCUGUUGGGAGGACUGCUUGCAGGGGACUCGAGCCCCAGAUAUUGCACUAGAGGCGCUGCAAGUGUGAGCAGGUAGAUGAAAGUCAAGAGAAAAGGUGUGGAUAAAUGAAACUAGCCCAUGAUAAGCCUGUUUUCUCCGUGACCACAAUAUGAACCAGGAUGAUGGUGGUGGCAGUGGGCUUGCAUCACAGGUUGCAGCAGAUGUUCUCAAUAUCUCUAUUAAAAUUUCCUUAUUUCCGUAUGUGAGAGGAGCUCCAGAGCCGCAUCCUUAUGGUAGCUACCAUGCCGUGUGUUACCAAACAACAAUUUGUCUUAAACUUUGUUUUAUGAGACGUUAUUGGGAUCUUGAACCAUGA
rnacentral:lncRNA from 1 species